rnacentral:rRNA from 1 species
GACGAACGCUGGCGGCGUGCUUAACACAUGCAAGUCGAACGGAAAGGCCCUGCUUUUGUGGUGUGCUCGAGUGGCGAACGGGUGAGUAACACGUGAGUAACCUGCCCUUGACUUUGGGAUAACUUCAGGAAACUGGGGCUAAUACCGGAUAGGAGCUCCUGCUGCAUGGUGGGGGUUGGAAAGUUUCGGCGGUUGGGGAUGGACUCGCGGCUUAUCAGCUUGUUGGUGGGGUAGUGGCUUACCAAGGCUUUGACGGGUAGCCGGCCUGAGAGGGUGACCGGCCACAUUGGGACUGAGAGACGGCCCAGACUCCUACGGGAGGCAGCAGUGGGGAAUAUUGCACAAUGGGCGGAAGCCUGAUGCAGCAACGCCGCGUGCGGGAUGACGGCCUUCGGGUUGUAAACCGCUUUCGCCUGUGACGAAGCGUGAGUGACGGUAAUGGGUAAAGAAGCACCGGCUAACUACGUG